GUAAAGGGCUCGUAGGCGGUUUGUCGCGUCGGGAGUGAAAACCAUGAGCUUAACUCAUGGCUUGCUUCCGAUACGGGCAGACUAGAGGUAUGCAGGGGAGAAUGGAAUUCCUGGUGUAGCGGUGAAAUGCGCAGAUAUCAGGAGGAACACCGGUGGCGAAGGCGGUUCUCUGGGCAUUACCUGACGCUGAGGAGCGAAAGUGUGGGGAGCGAACAGGAUUAGGUACCCUGGUAGUCCACACCGUAAACGUUGGGCGCUAGGUGUGGGAUCCAUUCCACGGGUUCCGUGCCGCAGCUAACGCUUUAAGUACCCCGCCUGGGGAGUACGGCCGCAAGGCUAAAACUCAAAGGAAUUGACGGGGCCCCGCACAAGCGGCGGAGCAUGCGGAUUAAUUCGAUGCAACGCGUAGAACCUUACCUGGGUUUGACAUGGAUCGGGAGUGCUCAGAGAUGGGUGUGCCUCUUUUGGGGUCGGUUCACAGGUGGUGCAUGGCUGUCGUCAGCUCGUGUCGUGAGAUGUUGGGUUAAGUCCCGCAACGAGCGCAACCCUUGUUUACUUGUCGCCAGCACGUUAUGGUGGGGACUCAGUGGAGACCGCCGGGGUCAACUCGGAGGAAGGUGGGGAUGACGUCAAGUCAUCAUGCCCCUUAUGUCCAGGGCUUCACGCAUGCUACAAUGGCUGGUACAGAGAGUGGCGAGCCUGUGAGGGUGAGCGAAUCUCGGAAAGCCGGUCUCAGUUCGGAUUGGGGUCUGCAACUCGACCUCAUGAAGUCGGAGUCGCUAGUAAUCGCAGAU
rnacentral:rRNA from 1 species